rnacentral:lncRNA from 1 species
GUUUAUACUUUAUAGUUUAAAACAAAGAUGAUCACAGCUCUUUCCCAAAACAAACCUCCUUCUUGCCUGGGGAUGAGACUGCCUUUGUAGGACUAUCAAAUUAAGCAUAAGAUUAGAAACUAUGGUUUAGGGGUCAUGCAGCUGGAGGCUAUAAGUAAGAUUCUGACCCUCCCAAGACUAUUCCUAAGAUCAGUGCUUGAGAUAUUUUGCAGACCCUGCACUUAAUGGAUGAGCUGUCACCACCUAAAUCCAUAAACUGUCUCAUCUGAUCUUGUGACCUCCACCCGGGAACUGACUCAGCACAAGAGGACAGCUUCAACUCCCUAUGAUUUCAUCUCUGACCCAACCAACCAGCACUCUUGACUCACUGGCCAUCCCCCACCCACCAAAUUAUCCUUAAAAACUCUGAUCCCCAAAUGCUCAGGGAGACUGAUUUGAGUAAUAAUAAAACUCCGAUCUCCUGCACAGCUGGCUCUGUGUGAAUUACUGUUUCUCUAUUGCAGUUCCCCUGUCCUGAUAAAUUAGCUCUGUCUAGGCAGUGGGCAAGGUGAACCCAUCAGGUGGUUAUGCUAAUAAAACUUUCCUUUUCAAACCUAUACUGUUGUCAGUAAACUCUUCCCAACUCAUGAGUCGACGACUUUCUAAUGCUGGGACUCUGACACCUUGCCCAGCAUCUUGGUAGUCUGUAUGGGGAUUUUACUGAGAUUUCUCCCUUCUUUUUUCUCCCUGCUUCCCUCAGUGCCCUGGUUCUCUACUCAUGGGAGUUGAUGGUAGCUGGCUGAGGCCACUCUUUGGUGGGAUCCUGAAGCCUAGAGAAGGGAUACCUGUCUGUCGCUGUUCUUAGAGCCCAGAUGGUGAAAUGACUCAUCUCUUCCACUGGCCAGCAAAACAAGGGAGACAGAAGAGGAGCUGUUAUAAUCCAGAUAAAAAAUGAUGUUUCAGAGGCAACGGGAAAAUAUUUCUAUGCAACGAUGGUAGUACAUUGAUAGCGCUUGUUAAUACUUUGUAUUCCUUUUCAGAUUCACAGCUUGAGUUUCACAUUGCUUCCAGAUUCCCAAGAGUAGUUCUGACCAAGAAUUCUUUUUAUCUUUCUCAUGUAUGUAAAUUGUAAACAUUUUUGGCUUUCAAAUAAUUUAUUUUGGUCACUUCUUUUUGUGAAGAUGAAAGAUUAUCCUUCAAACAUGUGACUUUUUUUGUUACUUUCCUUGAAAAUCACCUAGCAAUUUUAUAUGAAGUAUGUUCUAAUUUACAAAUGUGACUAGGAUUAAAGUAUAGGUCCUUCAGUGAAUAACUGGGAAAAAUGCCUACUGGAUAGGAAGGACAAUGAGAUAGAAAAUUACGGGGUCUGAUAGACAAAAAUAAACAGUAGGAGGAAUAGAGUUUUAUGUAUGUCUCUUUCUGUGGUUGUCAUUAGGUGAGGUUAUGGUUAUGGUAAGUCUGUGUGUAGGGGCUUUCAGGUAUGUAGUCGCAGAAAGUUUUGUACUUCUUUCUUUUUAAAAAAAUUAUUUUAUUUUAUUUUAUCUGGAGUACACCUGCAGGACGUUCAGGUUUGUUACAUAGGUAAAUGUGUGCCAUGGUGAUUUGCUGCACCUAUCAACCCAUCACCUAGGUAUUAAGCCUAGCAUGCAUUAACUAUUUUUCCUGAUGCUCUCCACCCCAAAUCACCCUCCCCCAACAGGCCCCAGUGUGUGUUGUUCCCCUUCCUGUGUCCAUGUGUCCUCAUUGUUCAGCUCCCACUUAUAAGUGAGAACAUGCGGUCUUUGGUUUUCUGUUCCAGUGUUAGUUUGCUGAGGAUAAUGGCUUCCAGCUUCAUCCAUGUCCCUGCAAAGGACAUGAUCUCAUUCCUUUGUAUGGCUUCACUACAUAGUAUUCUAUGGUGUAUAUGUACCACAUUUUCUUUAUCCAGUCUAUCAUUGAUGGGCAUUUGGGUUGAUUCCUUGUAGUCGUUGAAGAAGUCAUUGAUUUCUAGGAAAGUACUAGAGUUUGUCACUAACCAGAAUUUCAGUUUCUAAUACAAGAAAGAGUUUGAAAUAUUAACAGACAGGUAAGAUUUGUUCGUAGCUAUUAGUGGCAUAGUUGUACCUCUGAAUCUAACUUCUGAUUCCAUUUGCUAAUAAAGCCAUCAACCUGAAUUUCCUUAAUGACAGUUCAAACCAUAUUAUUCCUCUAUUCUAAAAUGUUUGAUAACUGCCCAUUCACUCUAACAUUGGGAAAAAUCUUUCCCCUGGGCAUUAUGGGACAUUUCCUGUUGUUAUCCUGUGAGGGCUAUUUAUGUGUACUAUGCUAGCCAAGCUAAACUUGUCUAUAGAAUAUAUAAUUUAUUAGGAUUCCACUACAAACUUGCUGACACUGCUCUUGUCACCCAAAAUGCCUUUCUCCAGUAUAGUGGGAAUUUCUGUUUUGUACCUGCCUGACAUAUAUUUUCUCUUCUUCUAGUAAUAAUGUCUAGAUUUUCCAUUGAGGAUGAACCUCCUCCCAUUGCAAACAAUUUUGGUUGGUAUCUCAGUCAAGGUGUUCAUUCCACCCCUGCCUGGUAUAUAAAAGUGGAUCCAUUACACAAGAUAAGCCAGUCCGAUUCUCUCUCUCCCUAGAAUUUGAAUCUUGAGCAGCAUAAUAAUACAAACAGUUUCAGCUGAUUCAUCAAGAUAGUCGUGUUUAUUAAAAGAGAUUGCCAAUUAUCUUCUACUUUCUAGAUCCCAGAUUUCACAUCCUUUCCAACACAAAAUUAUUCAGCUUUUCUGUAAUCCAAUGAGCUAAGCCUUUAUACACCUAACAAGUUCUGUAUCUGCUUCAGUUAGAGAUACUUUCUGUUGCUUGUAAACAAAGAAUACUGAUGGACCCUGUGGUAGGCAGAAUAACAGCUCCCUAAAGACUCCACAUCCUAAUCCCCAGAACCUAUGAAUAUGUUAUGCUACAUGGCAAGGGAGAAUUAAAGUUGCAGAUAAAAUUAGUUUGCCGCAGGGUGCGGUGGCUCACGCCUGUAAUCCCAGCACUCUGGGAGGCCGAAACGGGCGGGUCACCUGACGUCAGGAGUUUGAGGCCAGCCUGGCUAACAUGGUGAAAUCCUGUCUCUACUAAAAUACAAAAAAUUAGCCGGGCUUAGUGGCGUGCUCCCAUAAUCCCAGCUACUCGGGAAGCUGAGGAGGGAGAAUCGCUUGAACCUGAGAGGCGGAGGUUGCAGUGAGCCGAGAUUGCACCAUUGCACUGCAGCCUGGGCUGCAAGAGCGAAACUCCAUCUCAAAAAACACAAAACAAAACAAAAAUUAAGUUUGCGAAUCAAAUGACUUUAAGAUAAUGUAUCCUGGAUUAUCUAGGUGGCCCAAUGUAAUCACACAGCACUUAAACAGGGAAGAGAGAAGCAGAAGAGUAAAAAGUAGAGAACGACACGUGAUAAAGACAUCACCAGCCAUUGCUGGCUUUGAAGAUGAAAGGGGUACCAUGAACCAAGGAAUGUGGGCAGCCACUAGAAAUGCAGAAGGUGCCCGGCAUGGUGGCUCACACCUGUAAUCCCAACACUGUGGGAGGCUGAGGUGGGCAGAUCGCUUGAGCCCAGGAGUUUGAGG